rnacentral:rRNA from 1 species
GAUGAACGCUGGCGGCGUGCCUAAUACAUGCAAGUCGAGCGAACAGACGAGGAGCUUGCUCCUCUGACGUUAGCGGCGGACGGGUGAGUAACACGUGGAUAACCUACCUAUAAGACUGGGAUAACUUCGGGAAACCGGAGCUAAUACCGGAUAAUAUAUUGAACCGCAUGGUUCAAUAGUGAAAGACGGUUUUGCUGUCACUUAUAGAUGGAUCCGCGCCGCAUUAGCUAGUUGGUAAGGUAACGGCUUACCAAGGCAACGAUGCGUAGCCGACCUGAGAGGGGGAUCCGCCAAACGUGAAAUGAGGAACGUGCCCAACUCCGACGGGGGGCAGGAGGAGGGAAUCUUCCGGAAUGGGCGAAAGCCUGACGGAGCAAAACCGGGGGAGUGAUGAAGGGUUGCGGAUCGUAAAACUCUGUUAUUGGGGAAAAAAAAAUGUGUAAGUAACUAUGCACGUCUUGACGGUACCUAAUCAGAAAGCCACGGCUAACUACGU